UACGAAGGGGGCUAGCGUUGCUCGGAAUCACUGGGCGUAAAGCGCACGUAGGCGGGUCGUUAAGUCGGGGGGUGAAAUCCUGGAGCUCAACUCCAGAACUGCCUUCGAUACUGGCGAUCUUGAGUCUGGGAGAGGUGAGUGGAACUCCGAGUGUAGAGGUGAAAUUCGUAGAUAUUCGCAAGAACACCAGUGGCGAAGGCGGCUCACUGGCCCCGAUACUGACGCUGAGGCACGAAAGCGUGGGGAGCAAACAGG
rnacentral:rRNA from 1 species